AACAGUCUUCUUAUGAACACUCAGUGGAAUCGUGUUAGAACGGUGCUGACCUGUAACCACAGCUUAACAAAUGUUAGCUCUCAUUUGAGAUGUCUUAAAGAGUGGGUAGGGCUUUCAUAAAUAGAAAGAGGAAUUUGUAACUUAGAAGAAUAAAUAAUUAAAGUUAUUAAGAAGUUGACCUUAAUAACUGUGUGCUUGAUGAAUUUAGACUUGGUUUUACAGGCAACAGAGCUGGGAAGACUUCUGAGCAGAGACUGAGACAUUAUUCCUAGUAGAGAGAUGCUGAGAAAAAUGUGCUCUCACCAAGAUAUGUAGAUGGACUGGAGGAGGAAAAGGAUACAACAGAAAGACUGGUGUAAGCAGGAGGCCGGCCGUUAGAAAAAAACAAUUGAGAAGUGAGGAGGAAACAGUACUCAGGAAGGAAAAGUGGAAUGACUCAGAACCACUUAGCAGAUGCUCAAGUCAACUAUGAGUUGCGUACAGUCCUGGCCAUGAGACGGAAGUCCCAGAGAAGAUCACAAAAUACAGCACUUGACCUCAGCAGGCCCUGGGCUAAGUCACCCCUAAAGAUUUGACCCUGACCACCCGGGGAUCCUGUAAGGCUCCUCUUCUCCCUGGAGCUGACUCCAAGCAAAUGAAAGCAGAUUUCCAAACAAGGGAUAACCGAGUGUGAAAAUGAGACCUGGGGAGGCAUUGCAGCCUCUGUUUGUUCAUAUUAUUUGCUGUCACCAGCACUGUUCUCCUUCUGGGCUUUUAGCCCCUUUGCCUAUGAAUCAGGGAUCUGCAAGUGGAGGGCUUAGGCUGCUUGGCCGCCAUGAAAGUUAGGACACUCCAUCCACCCAUGUCCCUCAUUGCAAACAUUCAGGUGGAGAGCCAGCUUGGUAAGCGGGAAGCGAAUGGCAGGCAAGGCUUGCGAAGCCAUCAGGGCGCCAGCUCAGCUCGGGGACAACCACACUUCCCCUGGCUUCCUUUUCCCUGGCCAAGACUCCCUUGAAGGGUGGGCCUCAGACCCCAGAAGGGGACAAAGGCUCUCAGGAGCAGGGAGACAAUAACAGUCACAAGAUGAGGAGUUCAAAAGGAAACAGCACAAGCUGGAAGUAAUUGAUGUAUCUUUAAUGUUUCAAAUAUGCCUGCUUUUGUUUAUUUUUUUAAUCUCAACAAGUCAAAGACACUGAACGGUAAAUCAGAUCUCUGCACCUCCCCCGCUUUGGCCCUCCAGCUUUAGAGGCGCUUUUACACAGCUUUAAAGAUAAAACUUCAGAAGGCUCUAGCUUUUUGCCCAGGAGGCAAGGAAAGCAGCCCAUCUGACUGGGAGAGGGAAGGAGCAAAGGAAGGCUGCUCGAGCUCCUUGAAAAUGAGGUUGGAACCAAGAAGUGGAGUCUGUGGGAACCGAUCAGAGCGAGGAGGCAGGAGAGCAUAGAAUUCCAGGGGCUGGCUUGUUAUUGAUGUUGCACUGAUAGAAAAUCACUAGAGGUUUCUAAGCAGAGGAUGAACAGCAGAAAUAUUCCUCUGAUGAAAGAUGGUUUUUUUGUAUCUUUUCUUGCUGAAAAUUAAAACAAGUGGUACAAAGGGCACCCUGACCUACCUGUAGAGCAAAUUCAGAUUUUGAAAUCACAAGGUUGGGAGUAGGUUGUUAUUUUUCUAACCUGUUUUACUCGAAUCACAAGAAGGCUUUCAGUGCUAUUGAUGCCCCCUGAGUUAUGUAUUCAUCUACUCAAUAAUUAUUAAAUAUCUCCUAUGUGAUCAUCUCUCUGGGAGAUAGAAGAGAGGAAGAAAUUUAUAGCCGCAUUAACAUAAGUACAUAAAAAUGUGCUAAAGAGAAAAAUGGCACAAUUAAUUGUUCAAGGAGCAGUUUAGAUGCUGUACAAUAUAAGCAAUCUGUUGGAGAGAACCCUGAGAGUUGGAGUGGUCUGGAGAGGGUAGGUAGAUACUGGGUGGUGAGGGGUGCAAGAGAAAUUCUAGCCCAAGGGAAAGAAGAGAUGGGCAAAGAUUGGGAGGGCGGCAUGAGCAAGGUGUCUGAAGGCCUGUGGGGAUGCAACACUGGCCUAUCUGAGAUGGAGGUAUUCAAAACCCUUCUGGAAACAAAAAGUCCCUGCUGAUCUUUGAGACAAGGUUUCACCACUUUAAAUGGUGAUUUGAGAAGGCGUACCUGGCAGCAAUGUUUGGAAUGGUCAGAAGUAAGAGAAUCGAGGAAAGAGAGGUCAGCUGAGGGUCAUGCUGGUGUUGCAAGACGGCUGGGUCAGACACAACCUAGCAUAAUAGUGGGUUCCCAUUGGCCCUUUCAUAUAUUCCAGGUCCCAGCCAGCUGUCCAAAGCUAUCCAAAGAGCAAAUUGGACAUCCAUGCUCCGAAUCCACAGGCAUGCCAGGAAAUGAAUAUUUUUGGUGCCUAAGAGGGGCCUGGAUAAUAGAACAAACACCCCAGGAAAGUGCACUUCCCAUCUGCAGCCCACAUCUCCAGCAGCCAGCCCACCACUGUGGAAAGGGGGAUUAAUGAGCUGCAGACCAUCUAAGGCCAGGCCUUAUACAAUUCAUUUUUCCUGGAAAUGUCUGAGGUCCCAUGUGCUG